UUUAUUUCAAUUGAACACAAUACUGUAUUGAUGAUCAUACAUAUUAGGCACAACUAGCUUAUUUGGCACAUAAUGUGGAUCUCACAACAUUUGAGCGCGUGAAUAUUAUUACAUGUGGACUCUAAAGAUAAUAUUUUAAAAAAAUACAAUAAAUAUAUAAAUAUUCAGACCCACCCGAGUUUGAAUAAACUCUAAUUUCAUACCCUUCCGCUUAGUUCCGCCCAAAUUGCUUCCAAAUUAGGUCAAGAGACAUCUUCUUGUUUUCGUCUCUUUCCAAAUCUUCUUUGUUUCUUUCUAAUUCUUCUGAAUUUAUUUCGAAUUUUUAUUUUUUUUCUUCGCCAGAGAAGUUUUAUUGCCGAACUCGUAGAGUUCGUCAAAGGCACCCCCCACUGUUGUUGUGUACUGUAAUUGCGGUUAAUUAGCAAACUUCAAAAUAUCAUUAACUGAUCGUACACCAGGUCGAAGGUUUUACAAUUGCAAAAUUGGAAAGGGAAGCAUAAUUCACAGUGAUAAAUCGAAGAGAAUAAAUUGGAAAUACAGUGAGAAAUCGAAGGUAAUUGAUAGAAUUUUUCUAUAGAUUUUUUGUACCUGUAAUCGCCUCUCGUCAAUUGGGGUUAAUAUGGAGAGAGAGUAAUGAACGGGUUUUUUAAUUUUAAAUGGGAUGACUAUUUAGAAAUCUAAUAUGGCGUAUUAAAGCAGUUGGCGUCUUUUAACUAGUUAGCUUUCAGCGUCAGUUGCGACGCGCUACACUUAAUAUAAUAUUUGACCGAGUUUUGAGCUAGUUACGCCUAAUAGGGAUGUUAU
rnacentral:lncRNA from 1 species